rnacentral:rRNA from 1 species
GAUGAACGCUGGCGGCGUGCUUAACACAUGCAAGUCGAACGGAAAGGCUCCUGCUUGCAGGGGUACUCGAGUGGCGAACGGGUGAGUAACACGUGGGUGAUCUGCCCUGCACUUCGGGAUAAGCCUGGGAAACUGGGUCUAAUACCGGAUAGGACCACAUUUUGGAUGGUGUGGUGGAAAGUUUUUCGGUGUGGGAUGAGCUCGCGGCCUAUCAGCUUGUUGGUGGGGUAAUGGCCUACCAAGGCGUCGACGGGUAGCCGGCCUGAGAGGGUGUACGGCCACAUUGGGACUGAGAUACGGCCCAGACUCCUACGGGAGGCAGCAGUGGGGAAUAUUGCACAAUGGGCGCAAGCCUGAUGCGGCGACGCCGCGUGGGGGAUGACGGCCUUCGGGUUGUAAACUCCUUUCGCUAGGGACGAAGCGUUUUUGUGACGGUACCUGGAGAAGAAGCACCGGCUAACUACGUG